UACAGAGGUGGCAAGCGUUGUUCGGAAUUACUGGGCGUAAUGGGCGCGUAGGCGGCGCGGUAAGUCACUUGUGAAAUCUCUGAGCUUAACUCAGAACGGCCAAGUGAUACUGCAGUGCUAGAGUGCAGAAAGGGCAAUCGGAAUUCUUGGUGUAGCGGUGAAAUGCGUAGAUAUCAAGAGGAACACCUGAGGCGAAGGCGGGUUGCUAGGCUGACACUGACGCUGAGGCGCGAAAGCCAGGGGAGCAAACGGG
rnacentral:rRNA from 1 species